rnacentral:rRNA from 1 species
UACAGAGGGGGCGAGCGUUGUUCGGAAUUACUGGGCGUAAAGGGCGCGUAGGCGGCCCGCUAAGUCGAACGUGAAAUCCCCGGGCUCAACCCGGGAACUGCGUCCGAUACUGGCAGGCUUGAAUCCGGGAGAGGGAUGUGGAAUUCCAGGUGUAGCGGUGAAAUGCGUAGAUAUCUGGAGGAACACCGGUGGCGAAGGCGGCAUCCUGGACCGGUAUUGACGCUGAGGCGCGAAAGCCAGGGGAGCAAACGGG